rnacentral:rRNA from 1 species
GACGAACGCUGGCGGCGUGCUUAACACAUGCAAGUCGAACGAGAUCCAAUGUGUAGCAAUACACCGGAAGAUCUAGUGGCGAACGGGUGAGGAACACGUGAGAAACGUACCCCAGACUUUGGGAUAACAGUCCGAAAGGACUGCUAAUACCAAAUAACGUCGGAAGUCCGCAUGGACAUCUGACGAAAGGGAUUCCGGUUUGGGAGCGUCUCGCGGACCUAUCAGCUAGUUGGAGGGGUAACGGCCCACCAAGGCAACGACGGGUAGCUGGUCUGAGAGGAUGGUCAGCCACACUGGGACUGAGACACGGCCCAGACUCCUACGGGAGGCAGCAGUGGGGAAUCUUGCGCAAUGGGCGAAAGCCUGACGCAGCAACGCCGCGUGCGGGAAGAAGGCUUUCGGGCUGUAAACCGCUUUCAGUAGGAACGAAACUGACGGUACCUACAGAAGAAGGAGCGGCCAACUAUGUG